GAUGAACGCUGGCGGCGUGCCUAAUACAUGCAAGUCGAACGCUUCACAUAUGUGAAGAGUGGCGAACGGGUGAGUAAUACAUAAGUAACCUGGCCUUUACAGGGGGAUAACUAUUGGAAACGAUAGCUAAGACCGCAUAGGUGUCAUAACCGCAUGGAGAUGAUAUGAAAUAUGCUACGGCAUAGGUAGAGGAUGGACUUAUGGCGCAUUAGCUAGUUGGAGGGGUAACGGCCCACCAAGGCGACGAUGCGUAGCCGACCUGAGAGGGUGACCGGCCACACUGGGACUGAGACACGGCCCAGACUCCUACGGGAGGCAGCAGUAGGGAAUUUUCGGCAAUGGGGGAAACCCUGACCGAGCAACGCCGCGUGAAGGAAGAAGUAAUUCGUUAUGUAAACUUCUGUCAUAGAGGAAGAACGGUGCGUGUAGGGAAUGACAUGCAAGUGACGGUACUCUAUAAGAAAG
rnacentral:rRNA from 1 species